UUGAAGUGGCAAAGGGAAUUCUGGACUAGACAAGAUGGCUGCUGUGCUAAUGGUGCAAACUCUGAGUGUAGAAAAGUACCAUCAGUCUAAUUGACGAGAAUCUGGAGCGAGUUAACAUCAGGAAUGCUGGAGCUGCAAUUUGUGAAGUAACUGUGUCUUUUGGCAAGGCCCAUAGAGUAUGAAGGAGAUGGGCCCACCACUCAAACAGAGAGCCUGAAAUUAUAACAUGAGCAAAAGAAAACAAAGUUCCCCCCAGAGUCCCAAAAGGAAGUUGUUCCUCAACCAAUAAACUGGUGGGAUAAAGAUGAAAAUUCAAGACAAAAGCUGUGAUGCAGCCUGAAAGUGCUGCAGAAGUGGCCUGCCAGCCUUGCAGGUCCAGAGGUACUGUAGCUCAGCUCUUGACGCAAUGGAAAUUUCUGCAUCUCCACACUUUGGAAGAAAAGACACAGGUUAAGACACUGCUGGAAUCUCUGGUCUUACAGAAGUGGAUUUGUCCAAUUUAUGCUAAGGUAGCUCAUUUUCUUAGGUACAGAAUUAGGCAAAACCCCCCAAAAAUUCUCUGGGCCUCUGGAAGUCAUAUUUCACAUUUGGAAUUAAAUCCAGAAUCCCUGGAAAAAAGUUCAGUUCCACUGUUCAAUGAGCACCGUGUCAGAAUAGAUAGACGUAAGUUUCUAUAGACCAUUUAUCUCAUAUUAUCUGUUUUCCUGUUAAAGGAAGUGCUGCAAAUAUGAUCAAUCAAAGGGCAAAGACCUAACGCACACAGUGAACUAAACACAGAAAAUGAAAUAAACUGGUUAGGUAAAGAUUUUCCCUAGGUUUGCAAUGUUUAAAACAAAUGAGAUAAGAGUGCCUACCCUUUUCUUUCAGUAUUGCCAUCUUCAAUAAUCACUGAAGGUAGAACACCUAAAUAAUUGUUUUUAAGUGGGGCUAUAAAUGACGACUGCGUAUCAUAGCCUGGUCACUGAAUGCUCUGUAACAGCACAACCAUUAAUAACUCUCAUGACAGGCCUCAGGCUUGGUUCCACAAUGCUGCAGUCAGCAAAAACAAGCAUGUGUUUAGGCAAGGUCUUUAUGACUUAGAUUUGGCUGAUUUCAGUAAAAGUCACACUGGGCAAAAGCUUAUUUUAUGCUAAGAGCCAUACUUGAAGAGUUUGGAGACAGAAGAACAAAAGAAAACAAACUACACUCAACUAAAACAGUUUCCUCGAAAACCAGAGCAAGGGCAUCUGAAGAACAGAAAAGCAUUUGGCCACACCAUAUCUGUAGGCGCUGAGGAGAAGCGGCCACCUCAGCGCAGUUCAGGGCUGCGUGAGGUAAACAAUCACUACAGACUUCCCCUAUCAAUCCCGAGCCACACAUGCCGGCCUCCACUGUGACACCGCUGCCUCCGGCACCCACUGGGGAUGUCUCCUGCUUGUCUGACCUGGUGCCAGCAGAGAACCAGUGGCUCUAGUUCCUACAGUCAAAGCCUCACACUGGGGUGAUCUGACUAUUGCCUCACGCAUCCUGCCUUCCCAAGUCUUGAACUGCAUCUUCCAGUGGCUAGUCAGCCAGGACUGGAAGGCCUGACAGGGAAGCAGCCUUGGCUAGGAUGCAGCACCAGGCUGUCAGCUUUUGCAAACUGCUGCUGGGAGCUGGCAAAGGGUCAAUGCUCCAAGCUGCUGCCCCAUCCCUACAUUUGCCAACUAAGACAGGGCUCAGGGUGUGCUGCCAGUGCUGGUCACCUACACUGGGAAGCUGCAGCUGGCUUUGAAGACAAGCAACAUCCCCAACCCAGUGUGGCAACCUUGGCACAGUAGCUCCCCAGCAAGACUGACAGAAAUAAUAUUUUCGUAUAAUCUCUACGACUUCAUCGUGCUCUGUGUGCUGCACGUUCCAGGACCAGAUUCUACAAAGAGAAGCCCUGUUGUGGUUACAUUAAAAAUUUGAUGCUGAAAGUUCUCCAAAGUCAACCAAGCUAUAAAAGAAGAAAGAGACUGAGGUUUUUGUGAUUCAGUAAGAUGAACAUGUUAGCAGGAAAGAGACUACUGUACUUUAAUGGAUAUAUGGAGAAGCCAAUAAGACCCAGCAGGCCAAUAUAUUCUAGAUGAAAUAUUAUCAUAAAUGAGGAUGUGUUUUUAUUCAAAGCACGAGCUGUUUACUUUAGAUUUUGGGCAGCUGGGUGGCCUCAUUCAAUGGUUCCCUUACUUUGUUUGGGUUUGUUUUUUCUUAUUAACCUUUCUGUGUAAUUAUUAAUAUAACUUGUUUAUGAAUUGGACUUUUUUCGCUGCUUGCAUUGUAAUUGAGAUACAAGUCCAUAUUUUUAUUUAUAUUUGCAUUAGAAUUUAGUAUUAACCGACUGAGAUAAGUGGCUUUUAAGAGUUUUAGUUCAAGGCGCCAGGUUCCUACGCCAUAAAUUAAAAUUUACAGAAAUAAACAGAGCAGCCAUUUUAUUAACUAGAAGGACUAGAAGGACACAUGAAAACUUACUGCAGCUCAUUUUUUUUUGUCUCUAUGGCACAAGUCCUGCUGCUUCUCACCUCUCCCUUCCCCAAAACCUAUGAAAAGAGAUGGGUCACCCACUAGCUAUGCAAAGCUCCCUUGGGAAGUGGAACAGGCACUUUUCAGGAAUAAAAUUAUGCCAGGCCAGCAUCUUAGUUACUGAAAUACCAUAAUUAAAAACUACUUGGAGGUUCUGAUGAAACAGGGAAAGUUCAACUCCCAUCAUGCCUACACUACAUGCACCCAUCUUCAUUUUCUAAGUUGUGUGGCUCCUUUCCUGUCUAGUCAAAGUAAAAAAUUAGCUCCUCCAAGAAAGAUUCAGCACACACAGGUUACGUUCUGCUCCCAGCCUUUUCAGGAGUUUUUCAUUCCCUUGACAGCAGAGCCUUAGCUAGAUACUAGAAGUUGGAGUAGAGUCACAGUUGGGGAAAUACAAGAAUAGAGACAGAGAAACCCACCAGUCAGCAUAAUACAGACAGAAAGGGCAAGAGGAUUCAUCACUUUAAGUUCCAGUCAUUUUUCAUACAUUCCAUGUUCUUAUGGAGCAUGCAGAGUGCAAUCAAGCUUGCAGAAUUUCUAUGGAAAUUGUAUUUAACCUCAAGACCAAAGAGCAGGCAUACCCUAGAUACAAAUGUUAAUCCUUCCAAGAAUAUUGCAGUGCUUAUUAUUUCAUAGAAAGAAAGAAGUUCUGUAGCUCCUACAAUGAAGAAAACCACUUGACAAUUUCUCUGGGCUCCCACUUUUCUAUGAGCAAUUAAAUUGCUAGAAAGUACAAAUCAAUAAAUGUGUAUCACUAGGUAGAAUAAAAGUAUGUUUGCACAAUCCUCCAGUACAUUCUUGUAUUUUUAUCAAGGCUUGCUGGGAAUAGCAUUAAACCCAGAUAAACAAACUAUUGGUC